rnacentral:rRNA from 1 species
UACGUAGGGUGCAAGCGUUGUCCGGAAUUAUUGGGCGUAAAGAGCUCGUAGGCGGUUUGUCGCGUCUGCUGUGAAAACCUGGGGCUUAACUCCGGGCCUGCAGUGGGUACGGGCAGACUAGAGUGCGGUAGGGGAGACUGGAAUUCCUGGUGUAGCGGUGAAAUGCGCAGAUAUCAGGAGGAACACCGGUGGCGAAGGCGGGUCUCUGGGCCGUAACUGACGCUGAGGAGCGAAAGCGUGGGGAGCGAACAGG